rnacentral:rRNA from 1 species
GACGAACGCUGGCGGCGUGCCUAAUACAUGCAAGUCGAACGCAGUUGCGCACGGGUGAGUAACGCGUAGGUAACUGCCCCAUAGCGGGGGAUAACUAUUGGAAACGAUAGCUAAUACCGCAUACUGUGAGAUGGACCUGCGUUGUAUUGGCUAGUUGGUGAGGUAAAGGCGCACCAAGGCGACGAUACAUAGUCGACCUGAGAGGGUGAUCGGCCAAAAUGGGAAUGAGACACGGCCCAGAAUCCUCCGGGAGGGAGCAGGAGGGAAUCUUCGGCAAUGGGCGGAAGUCUGACCGAGCAACGCCGCGUGAGUGAAGGAGGUUUUCGGGUUGUAAAGCUCUUUUGUGAGAGAAGCGGUACCUAACCAGAAAGGGACGGCUAACUACGUGCCAGCAGCCGCGGUAAUAC